rnacentral:rRNA from 1 species
AGCGAACGCUGGCGGCAGGCUUAACACAUGCAAGUCGAGCGGGCCCUUCGGGGUCAGCUGCAGACGGGUGAGUAACACGUGGGAACGUACCCUUUUGUUCCGAAUAACGCUUUGAAACUAGCGCUAAUACCGGAUACGCCCUGUUGGUGAAAGGCUUGCUGACCGAGUAUGGGCCCGCGUCUGUUUAGCUAGUUGGGGUGGUAAUCGCCUACCAAGGCUACGAUCAGUAGCUGGUCUGAGAGGAUGAUCAGCCACACUGGGACUGAGACACGGCCCAGACUCCUACGGGAGGGAGCAGUGGGGAAUAUUGGAAAAUGGGCGCAAGGAAGAUCGAGCCAUGCUGCGUGAGUGAUGAAGGCCGUAGGGUUGUAAAGCACUUUUGUCCGGGACGAUAAUGACGGUACCGGAAGAAUAAGCCCCGGCUAACUUCGUG